UUGAACUGAAGAGUUUCAUGGCUCAGAUUGAACGCUGGCGGCAGGCCUAACACAUGCAAGUCGAGCGGCAGCACGGGUACUUGUACCUGGUGGCGAGCGGCGGACGGGUGAGUAAUGCCUAGGAAUCUGCCUAGUAGUGGGGGAUAACGUCCGGAAACGGGCGCUAAUACCGCAUACGUCCUACGGGAGAAAGUGGGGGAUCUUCGGACCUCACGCUAUUAGAUGAGCCUAGGUCGGAUUAGCUAGUUGGUGAGGUAAUGGCUCACCAAGGCGACGAUCCGUAACUGGUCUGAGAGGAUGAUCAGUCACACUGGAACUGAGACACGGUCCAGACUCCUACGGGAGGCAGCAGUGGGGAAUAUUGGACAAUGGGCGAAAGCCUGAUCCAGCCAUGCCGCGUGUGUGAAGAAGGUCUUCGGAUUGUAAAGCACUUUAAGUUGGGAGGAAGGGCAGUUACCUAAUACGUGAUUGUUUUGACGUUACCGACAGAAUAAGCACCGGCUAACUCUGUGCCAGCAGCCGCGGUAAUACAGAGGGUGCAAGCGUUAAUCGGAAUUACUGGGCGUAAAGCGCGCGUAGGUGGUUUGUUAAGUUGGAUGUGAAAGCCCCGGGCUCAACCUGGGAACUGCAUCCAAAACUGGCAAGCUAGAGUAUGGUAGAGGGUGGUGGAAUUUCCUGUGUAGCGGUGAAAUGCGUAGAUAUAGGAAGGAACACCAGUGGCGAAGGCGACCACCUGGACUGAUACUGACACUGAGGUGCGAAAGCGUGGGGAGCAAACAGGAUUAGAUACCCUGGUAGUCCACGCCGUAAACGAUGUCAACUAGCCGUUGGGAGCCUUGAGCUCUUAGUGGCGCAGCUAACGCAUUAAGUUGACCGCCUGGGGAGUACGGCCGCAAGGUUAAAACUCAAAUGAAUUGACGGGGGCCCGCACAAGCGGUGGAGCAUGUGUUUAAUUCGAAGCAACGCGAAGAACCUUACCAGGCCUUGACAUCCAAUGAACUUUCUAGAGAUAGAUUGGUGCCUUCGGGAACAUUGAGACAGGUGCUGCAUGGCUGUCGUCAGCUCGUGUCGUGAGAUGUUGGGUUAAGUCCCGUAACGAGCGCAACCCUUGUCCUUAGUUACCAGCACGUUAUGGUGGGCACUCUAAGGAGACUGCCGGUGACAAACCGGAGGAAGGUGGGAUGACGUCAAGUCAUCAUGGCCCUUACGGCCUGGGCUACACACGUGCUACAAUGGUCGGUACAAAGGGUUUGCCAAGCCGCGAGGUGGAGCUAAUCCCAUAAAACCGAUCGUAGUCCGGAUCGCAGUCUGCAACUCGACUGCGUGAAGUCGGAAUCGCUAGUAAUCGCGAAUCAGAAUGUCGCGGUGAAUACGUUCCCGGGCCUUGUACACACCGCCCGUCACACCAUGGGAGUGGGUUGCACCAGAAGUAGCUAGUCUAACCUUCGGGAGGACGGUUACCACGGUGUGAUUCAUGACUGGGGUGAAGUCGUAACAAGGUAGCCGUAGGGGAACCUGCGGCUGGAUCACCUCCUUAAUCGACG
rnacentral:rRNA from 1 species